UACGUAGGUGGCAAGCGUUGUCCGGAAUUAUUGGGCGUAAAGCGCGCGCAGGCGGCCUCUUAAGUCUGAUGUGAAAGCCCCCAGCUCAACCGGGGAGGGCCAUUGGAAACUGGGAGGCUUGAGUAUAGGAGAGAAGAGUGGAAUUCCACGUGUAGCGGUGAAAUGCGUAGAGAUGUGGAGGAACACCAGUGGCGAAGGCGACUCUUUGGCCUAUAACUGACGCUGAGGCGCGAAAGCGUGGGGAGCAAACAGG
rnacentral:rRNA from 1 species